AUGAACGCUAGCUACAGGCUUAACACAUGCAAGUCGAGGGGCAGCAUCAUCAAAGCUUGCUUUGAUGGAUGGCGACCGGCGCACGGGUGAGUAACACGUAUCCAACCUGCCGACAACACUGGGAUAGCCUUUCGAAAGAAAGAUUAAUACCGGAUGGCAUAGUUUUCCCGCAUGGGAUAAUUAUUAAAGAAUUUCGGUUGUCGAUGGGGAUGCGUUCCAUUAGGCAGUUGGCGGGGUAACGGCCCACCAAACCAACGAUGGAUAGGGGUUCUGAGAGGAAGGUCCCCCACAUUGGAACUGAGACACGGUCCAAACUCCUACGGGAGGCAGCAGUGAGGAAUAUUGGUCAAUGGACGAGAGUCUGAACCAGCCAAGUAGCGUGAAGGAUGACUGCCCUAUGGGUUGUAAACUUCUUUUAUACGGGAAUAAAGUUAGCCACGUGUGGCUUUUUGUAUGUACCGUAUGAAUAAGGAUCGGCUAACUCCGUGCCAGCAGCCGCGGUAAUACGGAGGAUCCGAGCGUUAUCCGGAUUUAUUGGGUUUAAAGGGAGCGUAGGCGGGUUGUUAAGUCAGUUGUGAAAGUUUGCGGCUCAACCGUAAAAUUGCAGUUGAUACUGGCGACCUUGAGUGCAACAGAGGUAGGCGGAAUUCGUGGUGUAGCGGUGAAAUGCUUAGAUAUCACGAAGAACUCCGAUUGCGAAGGCAGCUUACUGGAUUGUAACUGACGCUGAUGCUCGAAAGUGUGGGUAUCAAACAGGAUUAGAUACCCUGGUAGUCCACACAGUAAACGAUGAAUACUCGCUGUUGGCGAUAUACGGUCAGCGGCCAAGCGAAAGCAUUAAGUAUUCCACCUGGGGAGUACGCCGGCAACGGUGAAACUCAAAGGAAUUGACGGGGGCCCGCACAAGCGGUGGAGCAUGUGGUUUAAUUCGAAGCAACGCGAAGAACCUUACCAGGUCUUGACAUCGAUCUAAAGGCUCCAGAGAUGGAGAGAUAGCUAUAGAGAAGACAGGUGGUGCAUGGUUGUCGUCAGCUCGUGCCGUGAGGUGUCGGCUUAAGUGCCAUAACGAGCGCAACCCUUACGGGUAGUUACCAUCAGGUUAUGCUGGGGACUCUACCCGGACUGCCGUCGUAAGAUGUGAGGAAGGUGGGGAUGACGUCAAAUCAGCACGGCCCUUACGUCCGGGGCUACACACGUGUUACAAUGGGGGGUACAGAAGGCAGCUACACGGCGACGUGGUGCUAAUCCCGAAAGCCUCUCUCAGUUCGGAUUGGAGUCUGCAACCCGACUCCAUGAAGCUGGAUUCGCUAGUAAUCGCGCAUCAGCCACGGCGCGGUGAAUACGUUCCCGGGCCUUGUACACACCGCCCGUCAAGCCAUGAAAGCCGGGGGUACCUGAAGUACGUAACCGCGAGGAGCGUCCUAGGGUAAAACUGGUGAUUGGGGCU
rnacentral:rRNA from 1 species